AAAUUCUGAUAGUACUUCAUGAAUAAGGGGUUGCUAAACUCGUGCCAGCAGCAGCGGUAAUACGAGUACCCCAAGCGUUAUCCGGAAUUAUUGGGCGUAAAGGGUGUGUAGGCGGUCAUGUUAGUCAUUUGUUAAAGCCUCCGGCUCAACCGGAGAACUGCGAAUGAAACGGCAUGACUGGAGAGCGUGAGAGGUUUGCGGAACUCAUGGUGUAGGGGUGAAAUCCGUUGAUAUCAUGGGGAACACCAAAAGCGAAGGCAGCAAACUGGCACGUUUCUGACGCUGAAACACGAAAGCGUAGGUAGCGAAUGGGAUUAGAUACCCCAGUAGUCUACGCCCUAAACGAUCUUCUCUAGCUUUUCGGAGUAUCGACCCUCUGAGAGGCAAAGCUAACGCGUUAAGAGAAGCGCCUGGGAAGUACGGCCGCAAGGCUAAAACUCAAAGGAAUUGACGG
rnacentral:rRNA from 1 species